rnacentral:rRNA from 1 species
GCAAUACGGAGCGGCAGACGGGAGAGUAACACGUGGGAACGUGCCCUUCAGUUCGGAACAACCCAGGGAAACUUGGGCUAAUACCGGAUACGUCCGUAAGGAGAAAGAUUUAUCGCUGAAGGAUCGGCCCGCGUCUGAUUAGCUAGUUGGUGGGGUAACGGCCCACCAAGGCGACGAUCAGUAGCUGGUCUGAGAGGAUGAUCAGCCUCACUGGGACUGAGACACGGCCCAGACUCCUACGGGAGGCAGCAGUGGGGAAUAUUGGACAAUGGGGGCAACCCUGAUCCAGCAAUGCCGCGUGAGUGAUGAAGGCCUUAGGG